rnacentral:tRNA from 1 species
GGUGGCUCAGUGGUAGAGCACUUGCCUUGCAUGCCUAAGGCCCUGAGUUCGACUCUCAGCACCA